rnacentral:rRNA from 1 species
UACGAAGGGGGCUAGCGUUGUUCGGAAUUACUGGGCGUAAAGCGCACGUAGGCGGACUAUUAAGUCAGGGGUGAAAUCCCGGGGCUCAACCCCGGAACUGCCUUUGAUACUGGUAGUCUCGAGUCCGGAAGAGGUGAGUGGAAUUCCGAGUGUAGAGGUGAAAUUCGUAGAUAUUAGGAAGAACACCGGUGGCGAAGGCGGCCCACUGGUCCGGUACUGACGCUGAGGUGCGAAAGCGUGGGGAGCAAACAGG